CACGGGGGGAGCAAGCGUUGUUCGGAAUCACUGGGCGUAAAGGGCGUGUAGGCGGUCAAGUAAGUGGAAUGUGAAAGCCCCCGGCUUACCCGGGGAUCUGCAUCCCAAACUGCUUGGCUUGAGUACGGGAGAGGAUAGGGGAAUUCCUGGUGUAGCGGUGAAAUGCGUAGAUAUGUGGAGGAACACCGAUGGCGAAGGCAGCCCCCUGGGUUAACACUGACGCUCAUGCACGAAAGCGUGGGGAGCAAACAGG
rnacentral:rRNA from 1 species